UACGAAGGGUGCAAGCGUUACUCGGAAUUACUGGGCGUAAAGCGUGCGUAGGUGGUUGUUUAAGUCUGUUGUGAAAGCCCUGAGCUCAACCUGGGAACUGCAGUGGAAACUGGACAACUAGAGUGUGGUAGAGGGUAGCGGAAUUCCCGGUGUAGCAGUGAAAUGCGUAGAGAUCGGGAGGAACAUCCAUGGCGAAGGCAGCUACCUGGACCAACACUGACACUGAGGCACGAAAGCGUGGGGAGCAAACAGG
rnacentral:rRNA from 1 species